UGGCCUGAAAUGAUGCUAUGACUUCAUGUCUCUUCUCUGAGAUGUCAUGGAGACAGCCAAGUCUUUCUGAUCAGGCUU